GACGAACGCUGGCGGCACGCUUAACACAUGCAAGUCGAACGAGAGAAGAGGAGCUUGCUUUUCUGAUCUAGUGGCGGACGGGUGAGUAACACGUGAGCAAUCUGCCUUUCAGAGGGGGAUACCGAUUGGAAACGAUCGUUAAUACCGCAUAACAUAAUUGAACCGCAUGAUUUGAUUAUCAAAGAUUUAUCGCUGAAAGAUGAGCUCGCGUCUGAUUAGCUAGUUGGUAAGGUAACGGCUUACCAAGGCGACGAUCAGUAGCCGGACUGAGAGGUUGAUCGGCCACAUUGGGACUGAGACACGGCCCAGACUCCUACGGGAGGCAGCAGUGGGGAAUAUUGCACAAUGGAGGAAACUCUGAUGCAGCGAUGCCGCGUGAGGGAAGAAGGUUUUAGGAUUGUAAACCUCUGUCUUCAGGGACGAAAAAAGACGGUACCUGAGGAGGAAGCUCCGGCUAACUACGUGCCAGCAGCCGCGGUAAUACGUAGGGAGCGAGCGUUGUCCGGAAUUACUGGGUGUAAAGGGAGCGUAGGCGGGAUCGCAAGUCAGAUGUGAAAACUAUGGGCUUAACCCAUAAACUGCAUUUGAAACUGUGGUUCUUGAGUGAAGUAGAGGUAAGCGGAAUUCCUAGUGUAGCGGUGAAAUGCGUAGAUAUUAGGAGGAACAUCAGUGGCGAAGGCGGCUUACUGGGCUUUAACUGACGCUGAGGCUCGAAAGCGUGGGGAGCAAACAGGAUUAGAUACCCUGGUAGUCCACGCCGUAAACGAUGAUUACUAGGUGUGGGGGGACUGACCCCUUCCGUGCCGCAGCAAACGCAAUA
rnacentral:rRNA from 1 species